ACGACUUAGCGAUAGCUGGUUUCUCAAUAAAAGAAUUUUAGUCCAACCUAAAGCAAUAAAUGUACACAUAAAUUAACCACUCGCUUUAGAGCAAUUCAAAUAAGGUACAGCCUAUUUGAUACAGGACCCAACCUUGAUUAAUGGGUAACUCUCGAUUCACAUAUAUAAGUAGGCCUAAGAGCAGCCAUCUUUUUAAAAGCGUCAUAGCUUAACCAUGCCGAUCCUAAUUUCUUAACCACACGUGACCCCUUUAAUUGUACUGAGAACUUCUAUAAAACUAUAGAACUUUUUAUGCUAAAACUAGUAACAAGAGGUAACCCCUCUCUAUAAUGCAAGUAUAACCCAGCAAGAACCCACCACUGGCAACUAACAGACCUAAACAAAAGUAGCAACCCAUCUAGAAAACCCUACCCCAAUAACUGUUAAUCUAAUACCAGAGCAUUUCAAGAAAGAUUAAAAGAAAAAGAAGGAAUUCGGCAAACAUUAGCCCCGCCUGUUUACCAAAAACAUCGCCUCUUGCCCCUAUAAGAGGUCUAGCCUGCCCAGUGACUUCUGUUCAACGGCCGCGGUAUCCUAACCGUGCGAAGGUAGCGUAAUCACUUGUUUCCUAAAUAGAGACCAGUAUGAAAGGCAUCACGAGGACUAAACUGUCUCCUUUCUCUAAUCAGUGAACCUAAUCGCCCCGUGAAGAAGCGGGGUUUUUUAUAUAAGACGAGAAGACC
rnacentral:rRNA from 1 species